rnacentral:lncRNA from 1 species
CUGUGUUUGGCACCAAUUCUCCUUUCUGUACUUUCUGUAAUUAUCUCAGCCAUGAUCUCAGAUUUACAAUUUGUAAUUAUCUCACAGUGUCAAACAAGUCUUCAGUGAUUGACAAUCCCCUCUGCCUCUCCAAAAUGAAGCUGGCUGUGGUGGAUGUGGUGGAUGUAGACAUCUGUUCAUCAUUCACUUUUAAAGGAGCGGCUGCUGAUCCCCUGGAUCUCUGUAAUGGUUGCAACAGCCUGUAUCUUUCAGAUUUUCAUUCACAAGUGUUUGCAUCUUUGAACAUUUUCAGAACUUUGCAGGCUUUGCCCAACAGAAAGGCUUUUGAGAGCCUGAGCAUCAGAAGAGACCUCUUUUUGGGAGGAUCAGAGACAUUUAACUGGGAGCUCCGCCACAACUGGGACUAACAUGGAGAGCCUAGCAGAAACACUCCUUUGGUGUUCAGGGGGAAUAGCAUGGCCUGGAGUGGGAACAGGAAGAGUGGGACUCAAGAAUACAGUCUUUUGAGUCCAACCCAAACCAGGGUGCCAUUUGCUAAAAACAGCCCUAACUCCUGAGGCUAGACACACCCAUCUUCACUUUGGGAUUCAAGUCACCAAAGUAGACUCUUCUAUUCCCUGUAACCACCUAUAUGUGGACGGAUUACAUCUUGUCAUUACUAUUGGGAGAAAAGUUGCUUUCAGCACCACAUUCAUAAAGAUGGGCAAGUCUGUAUGUUGUGCUCAUGGUGAUCA